rnacentral:tRNA from 1 species
AGGAGCGUGCGAGCGGACGCGAGCUGUGGGCUUUUAAUCCAUAGGUUCUGGGUUCGAGUCCCAGGCGGCCUA